rnacentral:rRNA from 1 species
UACGGGGGGGGCAAGCGUUGUCCGGAAUUAUUGGGCGGAAAGAGCUCGUAGGCGGUUUGGCAAGUCGGGUGUGAAACCUCCAGGCUCAACCUGGAGACGCCACUCGAUACUGCUAUGACUUGAGUCUGGUAGGGGAUCACGGAAUUCCUGGUGUAGCGGUGAAAUGCAUAGAUAUCAGGAGGAACACCGGUGGCGAAGGCGGUGAUCUGGGCCAGUACUGACGCUGAGGAGCGAAAGCGUGGGGAGCAAACAGG